ACGAACGCUGGCGGCAUGCCUAACACAUGCAAGUCGAACGGGGAUACGAGAGCUUGCUUUUGUAUCUUAGUGGCGGACGGGCGAGUAACGCGUGAGCAACCUGCCCUUCAGUGGGGAAUAACGUCUGGAAACGGACGCUAAUACCGCAUAACACAACGGAGCCGCAUGACUUUGUUGUCAAAGGAUUUAUUCGCUGAAGGAUGGGCUCGCGUCCGAUUAGCUAGAUGGUGGGGUAAAGGCUCACCAUGGCGACGAUCGGUAGCCGAACUGAGAGGUUGAUCGGCCGCAUUGGGACUGAGACACGGCCCAGACUCCUACGGGAGGCAGCAGUGGGGGAUAUUGCACAAUGGGGGAAACCCUGAUGCAGCAAUGCCGCGUGAGGGAAGAAGGUCUUCGGAUUGUAAACCUAAGUAGCCAGGGACGAUAAUGACGGUACCUGGAGAGUAAGCUCCGGCUAACUACGUGCCAGCAGCCGCGGUAAUACGUAGGGAGCGAGCGUUGUCCGGAUUUACUGGGUGUAAAGGGUGCGUAGGCGGGAUGGCAAGUCAGAUGUGAAAUACCGGGGCUUAACCCCGGGGCUGCAUUUGAAACUGUCGUUCUUGAGUGAAGUAGAGGCAGGCGGAAUUCCUAGUGUAGCGGUGAAAUGCGUAGAUAUUAGGAGGAACACCAGUGGCGAAGGCGGCCUGCUGGGCUUUAACUGACGCUGAGGCACGAAAGCAUGGGGAGCAAACAGGAUUAGAUACCCUGGUAGUCCACACAGUAAACGAUGAAUACUCGCUGUUGGCGAUAUACGGUCAGCGGCCAAGCGAAAGCAUUAAGUAUUCCACCUGGGGAGUACGCCGGCAACGGUGAAACUCAAAGGAAUUGACGGGGGCCCGCACAAGCAGUGGAGUAUGUGGUUUAAUUCGAAGCAACGCGAAGAACCUUACCAGGUCUUGACAUCCAACUAACGAGGCAGAGAUGCGUUAGGUGCCCUUCGGGGAAAGUUGAGACAGGUGGUGCAUGGUUGUCGUCAGCUCGUGUCGUGAGAUGUUGGGUUAAGUCCCGCAACGAGCGCAACCCUUGUCAUUAGUUGCUACGCGAGAGCACUCUAAUGAGACUGCCGUUGACAAAACGGAGGAAGGUGGGGACGACGUCAAAUCAUCAUGCCCCUUAUGACCUGGGCUACACACGUACUACAAUGGCCAUUAACAGAGGGAAGCAAGACCGCGAGGUGGAGCAAAACCCCAAAAAUGGUCCCAGUUCAGAUUGUAGGCUGCAACUCGCCUAUAUGAAGUCGGAAUUGCUAGUAAUCGCGGAUCAGCAUGCCGCGGUGAAUACGUUCCCGGGCCUUGUACACACCGCCCGUCACACCAUGGGAGCCGGUAAUACCCGAAGUCAGUAGUCCAACCGCAAGGAGGGCGCUGCCGAAGGUAGGAUUGGCGACUGGGGUG
rnacentral:rRNA from 1 species